UGAACGCUGGCGGCAUGCCUUACACAUGCAAGUCGAACGGUAACAGGUUAAGCUGACGAGUGGCGAACGGGUGAGUAAUGUAUCGGAACGUGCCCAGUCGUGGGGGAUAACUGCUCGAAAGAGCAGCUAAUACCGCAUACGACCUGAGGGUGAAAGCGGGGGAUCGCAAGACCUCGCGCGAUUGGAGCGGCCGAUAUCAGAUUAGGUAGUUGGUGAGGUAAAGGCUCACCAAGCCGACGAUCUGUAGCUGGUCUGAGAGGACGACCAGCCACACUGGGACUGAGACACGGCCCAGACUCCUACGGGAGGCAGCAGUGGGGAAUUUUGGACAAUGGGCGCAAGCCUGAUCCAGCCAUGCCGCGUGCGGGAAGAAGGCCUUCGGGUUGUAAACCGCUUUUGUCAGGGAAGAAAAGGUUCUGGCUAAUACCUGGGACUCAUGACGGUACCUGAAGAAUAAGCACCGGCUAACUACGUG
rnacentral:rRNA from 1 species